rnacentral:rRNA from 1 species
AUACUGCGCGAGCUGAUGCAGCGACGCCGCGUGAGGGAUGACGGCCUUCGGGUUGUAAACCUCUUUCAGCAGGGACGAAGCGCAAGUGACGGUACCUGCAGAAGAAGCACCGGCUAACUACGUGCCAGCAGCCGCGGUAAUACGUAGGGUGCAAGCGUUGUCCGGAAUUACUGGGCGUAAAGAGUUCGUAGGCGGUUUGUCGCGUCGUUUGUGAAAACCAGCAGCUCAACUGCUGGCUUGCAGGCGAUACGGGCAGACUUGAGUACUGCAGGGGAGACUGGAAUUCCUGGUGUAGCGGUGAAAUGCGCAGAUAUCAGGAGGAACACCGGUGGCGAAGGCGGGUCUCUGGGCAGUAACUGACGCUGAGGAACGAAAGCGUGGGUAGCGAACAGGAUUAGAUACCCUGGUAGUCCACGCCGUAAACGGUGGGCGCUAGGUGUGGGUUCCUUCCACGGAAUCCGUGCCGUAGCUAACGCAUUAAGCGCCCCGCCUGGGGAGUACGGCCGCAAGGCUAAAAUAAGGCCCAUGUGAGGGUCCUCAGG